rnacentral:rRNA from 1 species
CCUACGGGAGGCAGCAGUGAGGAAUAUUGGUCAAUGGCCGUAAGGCUGAACCAGCCAAGUAGCGUGAGGGAAGACUGCCCUAUGGGUUGUAAACCUCUUUUAUGCGGGGAUAAAGGUGUCCACGUGUGGCUGUUUGCAGGUACCGCAUGAAUAAGGACCGGCUAAUUCCGGGCCAGCAGCCGCGGUAAUACGGAAGGUCCGGGCGUUGUCCGGAUUUAUUGGGUUGAAAGGGUGCGUAGGCCGGUCUUUAAGCGUGCCGUGAAAUUUUGUGGCUCAACCAUGAGAGUGCGGCGCGAACUGGAGACCUUGAGUGCGCGGAAGGCAGGCGGAAUUCGUGGUGUAGCGGUGAAAUGCUUAGAUAUCACGAAGAACCCCGAUUGCGAAGGCAGCCUGCCGCAGCGUUACUGACGCUGAAGCUCGAAAGCGCGGGUAUCGAACAGGAUUAGAUACCCCUGUAGUC